CACCUGCCGUCUACUCUUGACAGCCUUCUGAAAGGAAGAUUAAUACAAGAUGGCAUCAUGAGUCCGCAUGUUCACAUGAUUAAAGGUAUUCCGGUAGACGAUGGGGAUGCGUUCCAUUAGAUAGUAGGCGGGGUAACGGCCCACCUAGUCUUCGAUGGAUAGGGGUUCUGAGAGGAAGGUCCCCCACAUUGGAACUGAGACACGGUCCAA
rnacentral:rRNA from 1 species